AUGAACGCUGGCGGCGUGCCUAAUACCUGCCAGUCGAGCGCACAGACGAGGAGCUUGCUCCUCUGACGUUAGCGGCGGACGGGUGAGUAACACGUGGAUAACCUACCUAUAAGACUGGGAUAACUUCGGGAAACCGGAGCUAAUACCGGAUAAUAUAUUGAACCGCAUGGUUCAAUAGUGAAAGACGGUUUUGCUGUCACUUAUAGAUGGAUCCGCGCCGCAUUAGCUAGUUGGUAAGGUAACGGCUUACCAAGGCGACGAUGCGUAGCCGACCUGAGAGGGUGAUCGGCCACACUGGAACUGAGACACGGUCCAGACUCCUACGGGAGGCAGCAGUAGGGAAUCUUCCGCAAUGGGCGAAAGCCUGACGGAGCAACGCCGCGUGAGUGAUGAAGGUCUUCGGAUCGUAAAACUCUGUUAUUAGGGAAGAACAAAUGUGUAAGUAACUAUGCACGUCUUGACGGUACCUAAUCAGAAAGCCACGGCUAACUACGUG
rnacentral:rRNA from 1 species